rnacentral:rRNA from 1 species
UGGGGAAUAUUGGGCAAUGGGGGAAACCCUGACCCAGCAACGCCGCGUGAGGGAAGAAGGUUUUCGGAUUGUAAACCUCUGUUCUUGGAGAAGAGGAGAAGACGGUAUCCAAGGAGGAAGCCCCGGCUAACUACGUG